rnacentral:rRNA from 1 species
AGCGAACGCUGGCGGCAGGCCUAACACAUGCAGGUCGAACGAACCUUUCGGGGUUAGUGGCGGACGGGUGAGUAACACGUGGGAACGUGCCUUUAGGUUCGGAAUAACUCAGGGAAACUUGUGCUAAUACCGAAUGUGCCCUUCGGGGGAAAGAUUAAUCGCCUUUAGAGCGGCCCGCGUCUGAUUAGCUAGUUGGUUGAGGAAAUGGCUCACCAAGGCGACGAUCAGUAGCUGGUCUGAGAGGAUGAUCAGCCACAUUGGGACUGAGACACGGCCCAAACUCCUACGGGAGGCAGCAGUGGGGAAUCUUGCGCAAUGGGCGAAAGCCUGACGCAGCCAUGCCGCGUGAAUGAUGAAGGUCUUAGGAUUGUAAAAUUCUUUCACCGGGGACGAUAAUGACGGUACCCGGAGAAGAAGCCCCGGCUAACUUCGUG